rnacentral:pre_miRNA from 1 species
GAGGAGGGUCUCCUUGAGGGACCUCGGUCUCUACCCAGGACUCUUCAUGACCAGGAGGCCGAGGCCCCUCUCAGGCGGCCUCUUACUCU